UACGUAGGGGGCAAGCGUUGUCCGGAUUUAUUGGGCGUAAAGAGCGUGUAGGCGGCCUGACAGGUCUGCUGUGAAAACUCGAGGCUCAACCUCGAGAUGUCGGCGGAAACCGUCUGGCUAGAGUCCGGAAGAGGAGAGUGGAAUUCCUGGUAUAGCGGUGAAAUGCGCAGAUAUCAGGAAGAACACCUAUGGCGAAGGCAGCUCUCUGGGACGGUACUGACGCUGAGACGCGAAAGCGUGGGGAGCGAACAGG
rnacentral:rRNA from 1 species